rnacentral:lncRNA from 1 species
GCCUGGCUGGCUAGUCUAUGGGGUUGCAAAGAAUCGGACACUGAGUGACUGACACUUUCAUACUUCUUUCAUCUCCAUUUUACAGAUAAGAAAACUGAGGCACAAGGCAAUGAGGUGACUUGCCCAAGGUCAUCUCUUAGUAGGAAGAGGAGCCAGAUUCCAACCCACGCUCUCUGGAACCUGCAUUCACGUUCCUAACGCUCUUUGCUUCUGUCUCUUGUUCAUCUUGGGAAGCCAGACAACUCCCAGAGCUCCACAACAGAAGCUUCUGGAAGGUGGAGAAUCAAAUUGAGUCUCUCUGUGUUUGAGAGAGGGGAAGAACAUGAAUUAGAACCAAAGCAAAGGUGGCCACUUGUACCUUCAAGAGGGGUGUGUGUGUGACGCUAUUUACACAAAAGGGAUUA